rnacentral:sRNA from 1 species
AUCUAUAUUUGGUAAUAUCUGGAGAAAACUCUGAUAAACCUGGUGUGGGCUCCUUAGGGCAAGUGAGAUCACAAGGUAAGAUAGCUUCUCCUGUCUUACUGCAGGAAGUCCUCAUCCCUGAGAUGAAGUGGAGAAAGGUAUGCCCUUCCUCCAGGUCCCUGUCUCUCCCAGACAACAUCCCUUGUGUCCCUCCAUCAUCCGUGGACUCCACAGACAGUUUCUUCCCCUCCAGGAAGCCUCCAAUGUCUGAAUGCUGUCUAUGAGGAGGAUGAGCUGGAGGAGGAGCCCAGGAGCACUGGGGAGCUGAGGCUCUGGGAUUACCGGCUCCUCAAGGUCUUCUUUGUGCUGAUCUGCUUCCUGGUCAUGUCCUCAUCCUACCUGGCGUUCCGUAUUUCUCGGCUAGAGCAGCAGUUAUGCUCCUUGAGUUGGGACGGCCCAGUCCCUGGGCACAGGUAACAGCCACUUGGCCUUUGUCCCCAUUCCUUCUCCAAGAAGAAUGUUCUGGGUGCUAAGUCUCCACCAAUGAUCCCUGUGGUUUAUGCUGCUGCUGUGCUAAG